rnacentral:piRNA from 3 species
GUUAGCACUCUGGACUCUGAAUCCAGCG